rnacentral:rRNA from 1 species
GCGAGGCCGAAAGGCGUAGUCGAUGGGAAACGGGUUAAUAUUCCCGUACUUCUUACAAUUGCGAUGGGGGGACGGAGAAGGCUAGGUGGGCCUGGCGACGGUUGUCCAGGUUCAAGUGCGUAGGCUUAAGAGUUAGGUAAAUCCGGCUCUUUUUAAGGCUGAGACACGACGUCGAGCAUCUACGGAUGUGAAGUCAUUGAUGCCAUGCUUCCAGGAAAAGCCUCUAAGCUUCAGAUUGUAAGGAAUCGUACCCCAAACCGACACAGGUGGUCGGGUAGAGAAUACCAAGGCGCUUGAGAGAACUCGGGUGAAG